CCCUAUACUAGGAAAUACUAAACUUGCUUGUGGAAAAGAAUGUGUAUCUUUAGGCACAAAUCAGAAGUUAUAUAUAACAUUGUGUAAAUUGAACUGAGCCCCUGCUGAUUAUAUUAUUGGUGACUAGAUGUAACUACUAUAACAUACUAACUACUAUAAUAUACCAACCUUUUUGUUGAUACAAGGGUUCUACACAGGGAAUUGUUCAGCUCCCUCAACUUGCAGACAGAGCCGAGAACAUCCAACAGCUGGCAGGAGUGGCCCAGGAAAUUACAGGUUGACUGCAAGAUGUGAGAUUCAUCUACAUAAAGCCUUUUGUAAAGAUGCAUUGGAAGGCAAAUCUCAGUUACAAAGCAAAUUAAAACAUACUGCAUUCGAGCACAA